GCCUUUCCCUCUGUGGAACCUCAUGCCCUUCGCUGGGUGUGACGGGGAAACAGGACCCUUUUACUUUGAAAAAAUUAGAGUGCUCCAGGCAGGCCUAUGCUCGAAUACAUUAGCAUGGAAUAAUAAAAUAGGACGUGUGGUUCUAUUUUGUUGGUUUCUAGGACCGCCGUAAUGAUUAAUAGGGACAGUCGGGGGCAUCAGUAUUCAAUUGUCAGAGGUGAAAUUCUUGGAUUUAUUGAAGACUAACUACUGCGAAAGCAUUUGCCAAGGAUGUUUUCAUUAAUCAGGAACGAAAGUUAGGGGAUCGAAGACGAUCAGAUACCGUCGUAGUCUUAACCAUAAACUAUGCCGACUAGGGAUCGGACGAUGUUAUUUUUUGACGCGUUCGGCACCUUACG
rnacentral:rRNA from 1 species